AUUGAACGCUGGCGGCAUGCUUUACACAUGCAAGUCGAACGGUAACAGGUUAAGCUGACGAGUGGCGAACGGGUGAGUAAUGCAUCGGAACGUGCCCGAACGUGGGGGAUAACGCAGCGAAAGCUGCGCUAAUACCGCAUACGAUCUGAGGAUGAAAGCGGGGGACCGUAAGGCCUCGCGCGAUCGGAGCGGCCGAUGUCAGACUAGGUAGUUGGUGGGGUAAAGGCGCACCAAGCCAACGAUCUGUAGCUGGUCUGAGAGGACGACCAGCCACACUGGGACUGAGACACGGCCCAGACUCCUACGGGAGGCAGCAGUGGGGAAUUUUGGACAAUGGGCGAAAGCCUGAUCCAGCAAUGCCGCGUGCAGGAAGAAGGCCUUCGGGUUGUAAACUGCUUUUGUACGGAGUGAAAGGGCUCUCUCUAAUACAGGGGGCUCAUGACGGUACCGUAAGAAUAAGCACCGGCUAACUACGUGCCAGCAGCCGCAGUAACAC
rnacentral:rRNA from 1 species